rnacentral:lncRNA from 1 species
AUGUGGUGGGCAGAGCCCUGUUUCCUCAUGGGCUGUGUCUCCUGCCCACUGGCCCUGCUGUGGGCAGGAAGGGGAGGGGCAUGGACGCACAGGGGACCUCCUCCCACCCAUCAAGGGAGCGGUGCUCUUAGGGCUGCAAAGCUUCCUGUGGCUCUGUUGCUCCCUGCUCAGCGCUCAGUGGAAACCUCGGGUGAGCGGCUCAGCUCCGCAGGAGAGGCCACAAAUCUCUCAGGGGGUAAGACUCCCAGGCGGGCUUCCUGGGAAUUGGGCGAUGUGUCCGUCUCUCGGUGCUCCUUGCCCGGGGUCUGUUCCUGUGCAGCACGCUUGACCCCCGGAUCAGAGUCGUGGGGUCCUCUUGCUCCUUCUGUCCACAGUUCCCCAGCUGUCCAAUCCCACUCAGCACUCAUCUCAUGUCUGACACAGGUGCACACACACAGAGUGAGGGAAUUCUACAUCUUGACCCUGGUUCGAAGCCUCGAUGAGUUUCUCUUUACACUUCAGUUUGGGGUUCCCUCUGCUUUGCGCUGGCCACCGCACCACAGCACUGUUCAUAAAUCUGCUGGGCUCUCCGCAUGUGCUGAACCCCAGCUAGGAAGCUGCAGGGGUUUCUCAGAUAAAAAACCAGGUUCUGCCCAGCCCGCUCCACCCGUGUCUCCAUUCUGUGUGCAGUCAUCCCCACGGAGGAGUGAUUGCAGGACACCCCACACCCACGGACACAAAUCUAGGUGCUCAAGACCCUACACAAGAGCCUACACAGUCCUCCUGUAUACUUUAAAUCAGCUCUGGGUAGCUUACAAUACCCAACACAAUGGAAAGACUAUAAAGAGCUCAAGAAAUUCAACAACAACAAAACAAUCCAGUGAAGAAAUGGACAAAGGACUUGAACAGGCAUUUUUCAAGAGAGGAAAUUCAAAUGGCCAACAGACAUUUGAGAAAAUGCUCAGGAUCACUAGCCAUCAGGGAAAUGCAAAUCAAAACCAUGGUGAGGUUUCACCUCACCCCAGCUAG